UAAUUUCCAAUUCUCCACGACAAGAAGAAACUGGCGGCUGCCGAGGUCUAUUUAGUGAAGAGAAGUCGUCCUCAAAUUGUUUCUGUCCAACCACAAAGCACAAGGCCGCCAUGGACGGCAGCCGAGUCGACUGGACAAACCUCCCACACCAGCUCCCCCCACUCAUCGCCGACCUCCUCCAAACCCACCUCGAACACCUCCGAUUCCGCAGCGUCUGCAACUCCUGGCGCUCCUCCAUUCCACCCUUGCAAAGUUCCAAUGUCCCUAGAUUCCCUACUCCGCUCUCCCUCGGGCCCACUGCCGUCCUCUGCCCAACCACCGUCUACCUCCUCCGCCCCGACCCAAAUUCAAAUCCAAAUCCUUCCGCGUCAUCAUCUUCAACCUCUUCGUCCAAGGGUUGGCUGCUGAAGCUGGAAGAGUCUUCCGGCAAACUUCGUCUCCUGAACCCGAUCACCAGCUGGCGGAUCGGGUCCGUAAGCGAUGGUGUUCCGGUAAACCCCAUGGAUUUGAAUUUGCUGGACUUCAACAUGGUGGAGAUGGCCAGAUCAUAUGUGCUCAGAUAUAUAAAUGGAUCCGGAUCCGUUUUUGGCAUAAACAAGGUGAUUAAAUCCCCCAUUUUCAAAGAUUACUGCUCAAUUUUCUUUAUUUACAACGAAGGAAAAUUGGGUUUUGCAAAAACUGGAGAUCAAAAGCUCACACUCAUCAACGAUCAAGUUUCUGACUACGAUGACAUGAUUGUGUACAAGGGUCAUCCUUUUGUUGUGGACAAAUGGGGUCAAAUUUUUUGCAUCAGUUCGUCGUUGGAAUUGACCCCGGUUUCACCUCCGAUCGGGUUUGGUCACCGUAAGAAUUUAAUCGAGUGUUGCGGAGAGCUUUAUGUGGUGGAUAGGUACCUGGAUCACCAAGGUACAAACUCUCAAGAAGGAGGUGUUGGUUCUGUUCGUUACAAUCACUUUCUCCGCCAUCCUCUCCGCAGGCGGAGGUUCUACGAGGCGGGUCAGCCGAAGGUGGUGGACUUUAGGGUUUAUAAGUUGUUGGAGGAUGGUGCUGAGGAGUUGGGGAGGAGAUGGGUUGAAUUGAAGAGCUUGGGGGAGCAAGCUUUUUUCUUGAGCAUCGAUUGUUGCUUCUCUGUUUUGGCUGCAGAGUUGGAGGGGUGUAAAGGCAAUUGCAUAUACUUCACAGAUUCUAAUGACAUUGGUCUUGCAUUGAGAGAGUUGAUUAGGCCGGAUGGGUCAGUUUUUAGCAUGGAGGAUCGUAGCAUUGAGAGGCUUGGAUCUUCCCCUCUUUAUUCCAAGAUGUUUUGGCCACUCCCAAUUUGAUUAUCAUUUGAAUUUACGUAAGUUUAUACUAGCUUCUGUACACGCGUUAGCGCUUGUGAAAUAGACAUGUUUUAAUAAGCAUAUGUGAUUGGAAUCACUAAAUUUAGAUGAACUGUUGAAAACAGUCGUGCGACUGUGGAUUUAGAUUGAUGAGUCAUCAUUUGAAUUGAUGAAAGUAUAUUCUAGCUUCUAUCAGCACUUGUAAAUAGUUCUUUUUUAGUAAGUGCAUGUGAUUGCGAUCAGUAAAUUUAGAUGAACGACUCAAAAGAGUCGUGCCACAUACAGUAUACCAUGAGCAUACACUAUAGUUUACCGAUUACUGUAAAAAUGUCGUACCCAGUGCACAAGACUUCCGCUUUACGCAGGGUCUGGGAGAGGUGAAUGUCGGCUAGCCUUACCUCUAUUUAUGGAGAGGCUGCUCCCAAGUCUCGAACCCGAGACCUACCGCUCAUGGACGAAAGCACUUGCCAUCGCACCGACCUCUUAGUUUACCGAUUACUGUGAUGAGCAAAAAUGCUCCAGUCCUUAGAACUUUAGUUAGCAUAUGAAUUUCAAUUAAAUAAGAGAAAUUAGAGAAAAACACAACGAACAAAUACAUAUAGUCGUUUAGAGUGUCAUAUAAUUUCAGCACGAGAAUCUGAAUCCGAGGAAUACCUCGAAAUCCGACUGAUCUGAACCGCCCUGCAAUUUCAAAGAAACAGAGAUGGAGGAAGAUGAAGAGAAGUCGUCCUCAAAUUAUUUCAGUCCAACCACAAAGAACAAGGCCUCCAUGGACGGCAGCCGAGUCGACUGGACAAACCUCCCACACCAGCUCCCCCCACUCAUCGCCGACCGCCUCCAAACCCACCUCGAACACCUCCGAUAUCGCAGCGUCUGCAGCUCCUGGCGCUCCUCCAUUCCCCGCUUCCAAAGUUCCAAUCCCCCCAGAUUCCCUUUUCCGCUCUCCCAAGGGCCCACUGCCUUCCUCUCCCAAACCACCGUCUACCUCCUCCGCCCCGACCCGGAUCCAAAUGCAAAUCGUUCCGCGUCAUCAUCUUCAGCCUCUUCAUUCAAGGGUUGGCUGCUGAAGCUGGAAGAGUCUUCUGGCAAAAUCCGUCUCCUGAAUCCGAUCACCAGCUCGCGGAU
rnacentral:lncRNA from 1 species